AGUGGAAUUGCUGGAUUGUAUGGUAACUCUGUUUAACUUUUUGAGAAACUGCCAAAUUGUUUUCCAUAGUGGUGGUACCAUUUUACAUUCCCAUCAGUAGU
rnacentral:pre_miRNA from 1 species